ACAGGUGCUGCAUUGGCUGUCGUCAGCUCGUGUCGUGAGAUGUUGGGUUAAGUCCCGCAACGAGCGCAACCCUUGUCAUUAGUUGCUACAUUUCAGUUGGGCACUCUAAUGAGACUGCCGGUGACAAGCCGGAGGAAGGUGGGGAUGACGUCAAGUCCUCAUGGCCCUUAUAGGUGGGGCUACACACGUCAUACAAUGGCUGGUACAAAGGGUUGCCAACCCGCGAGGGGGAGCCAAUCCCAUAAAGCCAGUCGUAGUCCGGAUCGUAGUCUGCAACUCGACUGCAUGAAGAUGGAGUUGCUAGUAACCGCAGGUCAGCUAUACUGCGGUGAAUACGUUCCCGGGUCUU
rnacentral:rRNA from 1 species